GUGGGGAAUCUUCCGCAAUGGACGAAAGUCUGACGGAGCAACGCCGCGUGAGUGAAGAAGGUUUUCGGAUCGUAAAGCUCUUUCGUUAGGGACGAACGUGCUCUUUGUGAAUAAUGAGGAGUAAUGACGGUACCUAAAUAAGAAGCCACGGCUAACUACGUGCCAGCAGCCGCGGUAAUACGUAGGUGGCAAGCGUUGUCCGGAAUUAUUGGGCGUAAAGCGCGCGCAGGCGGGAUAUCAAGUCUGUCUUAAAAGUGCGAGGCUCAACCUCGUGAGGGGACAGAAACUGGUAUUCUUGAGUGUCGGAGAGGAAAGUGGAAUUCCAAGUGUAGCGGUGAAAUGCGUAGAGAUUUGGAAGAACACCAGUGGUGAAGGCGACUUUCUGGACGAAAACUGACGCUGAGGCGCGAAAGCCAGGGGAGCGAACGGGAUUAGAUACCCGAGUAGUCC
rnacentral:rRNA from 1 species